GCAUAUCAAUAAGCGGAGGAAAAGAAACCAACAGGGAUUGCCUCAGUAACGGCGAGUGAAGCGGCAACAGCUCAAAUUUGAAAUCUGGCUCUUUCAGGGUCCGAGUUGUAAUUUGUAGAAGAUGCUUUGGGUGUGGCUCCGGUCUAAGUUCCUUGGAACAGGACGUCAUAGAGGGUGAGAAUCCCGUACGUGACUGGGUGCCUUCGCUCGUGUAAAGCUCUUUCGACGAGUCGAGUUGUUUGGGAAUGCAGCUCAAAAUGGGUGGUAAAUUUCAUCUAAAGCUAAAUAUUGGCCAGAGACCGAUAGCGCACAAGUAGAGUGAUCGAAAGAUGAAAAGCACUUUGGAAAGAGAGUUAAACAGUACGUGAAAUUGUUGAAAGGGAAGCGCUUGCAACCAGACUUGCGCGCUGUUGAUCAUCCGAGCUUUUGCCCGGUGCACUCGGCAGCGCUCAGGCCAGCAUCGGUUUUGGUGGGCGGAUAAAGGCCUUGGGAAUGUAGCUCUCUUCGGGGAGUGUUAUAGCCCUCGGUGCAAUGCGCCCUACCGGGACCGAGGACCGCGCUUCGGCUAGGAUGCUGGCGUAAUGGUUGUAAGCGACCCGUCUUGAAACACGGACCAAGGAGUCUAACAUCUAUGCGAGUGUUUGGGUGUCAAACCCAUACGCGUAAUGAAAGUGAACGGAGGUGAGAACCCUUAAGGGUGCAUCAUCGACCGAUCCUGAUGUCUUCGGAUGGAUUUGAGUAAGAGCAUAGCUGUUGGGACCCGAAAGAUGGUGAACUAUGCCUGAAUAGGGUGAAGCCAGAGGAAACUCUGGUGGAGGCUCGCAGCGGUUCUGACGUGCAAAUCGAUCGUCAAAUUUGGGUAUAGGGGGCGAAAGACUAAUCGAACCAUCUAGUAGCUGGUUUCCUGCCGA
rnacentral:rRNA from 1 species